rnacentral:piRNA from 1 species
UGAUCUAUUGUCUCUAUUCCAGAUGUGUC